rnacentral:tRNA from 1 species
UUCUUCAGUAGCUCAGUGGUAGAGCGGUCGGCUGUUAACUGACUGGUUGUAGGUUCGAAUCCUACUUGGGGAGA